rnacentral:rRNA from 1 species
CCUACGGGUGGCAGCAGUGAGGAAUAUUUGUCAAUGGACGAAAGUCUGAACCAGCCAAGCCGCGUGCAGGAAGACGGCUCUAUGAGUUGUAAACUGCUUUUGUACGAGAGUAAACGCAGAUACGUGAAUCAGUCUGAAAGUAUCGUACGAAUACGGAUCGGCUAACGCCGUGCCAUCAGCCGAGGUAAUACGGAGGUUACAAGCGUUACCCGGAUUUUUUGGGUUUAAAGUGUGCGUAGGCGGUCGGAUAAGUUAGAGGUGAAAUGCCGAGGCUCAACUUCGGAAGGGCGUCUGAUACUGUUCGUCUAGAGUGUAGUUGCGGUAGGCGGAAUGCAUGGUGUAGCGGUGAAAUGCUUAGAGAUCAGACAGAACACCGAUUGCGAAGGCAGCUUAC